CCUACGGGUGGCAGCAGUGAGGACUAUUGGUCAAUGGACGAGAGUCUGAACCAGCCAAGUAGCGUGAAGGAUGACUGCCCUAUGGGUUGUAAACUUCUUUUAUAUGGGAAUAAAACGUUCCACGUGUGGGAUUUUGUAUGUACCAUAUGAAUAAGGAUCGGCUAACUCCGUGCCAGCAGCCGCGGUAAUACGGAGGAUCCGAGCGUUAUCCGGAUUUAUUGGGUUUAAAGGGAGCGUAGGUGGAUUGUUAAGUCAGUUGUGAAAGUUUGCGGCUCAACCGUAAAAUUGCAGUUGAAACUGGCAGUCUUGAGUACAGUAGAGGUGGGCGGAAUUCGUGGUGUAGCGGUGAAAUGCUUAGAUAUCACGAAGAACUCCGAUUGCGAAGGCAGUUCACUAGACUGCAACUGACACUGAGGCUCGAAAGUGUGGGUAUCAAACAGGAUUAGAUACCCUUGUAGUC
rnacentral:rRNA from 1 species